CAGGCUGCAACUCGCCUGCAUGAAGUCGGAAUUGCUAGUAAUCGCAGAUCAGCAUGCUGCGGUGAAUACGUUCCCGGGCCUUGUACACACCGCCCGUCACACCAUGGGAGUCGGUAACACCCGAAGUCGGUAGCCUAACCGUAAGGAGGGCGCCGCCGAAGGUGGGAUUGAUGACUGGGGUGAAGUCGUAACAAGGUACC
rnacentral:rRNA from 1 species